AGGAACUACUGUCGGAGAAGGGCGCCCCCGUUCACAUAUUGACACUCUCAGUUGCGACAGCGUGGGGGCCCACACAGGAUGUGAUCCCCUAGUACUCCACGCCGUAAACGAUGUCUACUGGGAGGUUGUCCCCCCUGAGCCGUACUUUAGGAGCUAACGCGAAAAGUAGACCGCCUGGGGAGUCCGGUCGCAAGAUUAAAACUCAAAUGAAUUGACGGGGGCCCGCACAAGCGGCGGAGCAUGUGGUUUAAUUCGAUGCAACGCGAAGAACCUUACCUACUCUUGACAUCCAGAGAACUUUCCAGAGAUGGAUUGGUGCCUUCGGGAACUCUGAGACAGGUGCUGCAUGGCUGUCGUCAGCUCGUGUUGUGAAAUGUUGGGUUAAGUCCCGCAACGAGCGCAACCCUUAUCCUUGUUUGCCAGCGAGUAAUGUCGGGAACUCCAGGGAGACUGCCGGUGAUAAACCGGAGGAAGGUGGGGACGACGUCAAGUCAUCAUGGCCCUUACGAGUAGGGCUACACACGUGCUACAAUGGCGCAUACAGAGGGCGGCCAACUUGCGAAAGUGAGCGAAUCCCAAAAAGUGCGUCGUAGUCCGGAUUGGAGUCUGCAACUCGACUCCAUGAAGUCGGAAUCGCUAGUAAUCGUGGAUCAGAAUGCCACGGUGAAUACGUUCCCGGGCCUUGUACACACCGCCCGUCACAUACACCGGAGUAGAGUGCGAUACGUGGGUCAGGAUAAGUCGUAACAAGGUAACCAUGCUAGAGUGUUCC
rnacentral:rRNA from 1 species